ACACCAUCUUCUUAAAACAAAAUUUUUUGAAUGUACUUGUGAUCGAUGCAAGGAUCCCACAGAAUUUGGAACAAUGUUUAAUGCUUUAAAGUGCAAUCGAAUCUGAAAAUCGAAUUCGAGGCCUGAUUCUUUUCGAAUUACAUGCAGCCCACGCAGACCUUAGUAGGAGACAUACAGAAAUGGAGAUUUUAGUGCCAUUAUUGCAGGAGUCAAAGAAGUAUUUAGUUGAUGGCUAUCAAUUACUGAAGUACGAACCAAAAGUUCUACCGGAAGGAAAAAUAGCUCAACAUGCAGAACAAAAUUUACACGAAAUAAAUAAGCUCUUAAAACGAUUCAAUGUAACAUAAACUUUAUCA
rnacentral:misc_RNA from 1 species